AUGGUGGGAGCAGAAAACGCAAACUCAACGCUUAAGGUGCAAAAUGUGACCGAACCUUGCAGACCUGACCCGCUCUCUGCAGAGUGGAGCCUGGGGAAAGAGACCAGAUCCGGCUACGCGUGGUCUUAGCCAAAGGACAAUAUCUAAGCAGUUUACUGUUCCCAAAUCCCACAUCAGAGGUAGGGGGUCUGCAAACCCACUUACUCCGUGCAUUCUCUUUAAUGAAUUGGAUAAUGUCAAUGAUCGCCGCCUGGUCCAGUUCAUCCUUAUCCACAGCUUUGCCUUCCACGCUGAGGUUUGUAAACUCGGACUUCAGGGUAGUGUAGAUCCCUUCCGACAGGAAGAAGAAGGGCCGAUCGUCUGUCUUCAUGUCCUGGAAGACCAGCACGGCCCUCGAGGUCCAGUUGAAGGUCUCAUGCAACUGGGCGGUGAAUUCCCCGAGCUUGGUGAAGACCGGCCCGGUGCGGAUCACCGUGCUGUAGUCUCCGGUCUUGGAGAAGCCGAAGGCUGAUGCCCCGGCGGUGACCAGGGGCAGCCCCCAGUGGCUGGCGAACCUAGCCACCGGGGCGGUGGCGUAGAUACAACCGGGACCCACGAAGACGUCGGGGUCGUUCUCCAGCUUCAGGUCCACGGCGAGCAAAGGGGCGAGCGAAUCGGCGCAGCGGCCGUCCAGUUCGCUGCUCUUGAACUUGUAGCACGUCAGCGAGAGGCUACACAAACUCCACAACCAGGACUAAAGCGCCAUCUGCCAGAGCAAAACGACACCUCCACCCAGCUCCGACUUUCCUCUCAGCUGAACUCCUGUUUUAAUACAGUGCCAGGUUAAAAAAAACACACACGAGAUGGAAACAGCGACUGGAUAUGGAAAUCGCGCACAACUUGUUUAAAAUCAAGACCACCUCCGUCAACGGAUUUCUCCCGGGAACUUCCAAGGAAAUUCCAAUCGGCAGGUACCGAGGGGACACUCAUUCUGUGGAUUAUUUUGAUUCUCACGGAGUCUAACUUCGCUUUCUCUGACGGCCGGUGCUCGGGCUGACAGCUUUCCUGUGUGACUGUUAGCGAGUACACACAUCGGUUCCCCAUCGGUAAGAGCGAUGCAAAUGACAAUUACGAACCAAGCCGUUGGUAAUUCCGAGGCGCUGCCGCCAUUCAUUGAGGGAUACCUGGCGAUUUACAAACACUAGGAUUGCUACAGAACACAUGGGCAGCCUCCCCCAGACCCGCUACUUUAUUUCGCCUCCAGCUUGUUCCCCCAAAGCGUUUAAAAAUCAAAAAGUAAGGAAGGUAGGCGGUUUGUGGUGGCAUUUUAAAAGGUUGCCGACUGUCAGUUUGCAGUCGGCGCCGGGACAGAACUGUGCGGACAAUCUGCAGAUGGUUGGUGCCUUUUUAAUAGCACGGACUUGUCUGGUUUCCAGUGUGUGCUAACCCGAUCGAUACAUCGAUUUUAAUUGGAUUUGGUCGUGGACAGGAGUGUGAUAGCUAGGAUGCCAGCCGCCGCAUCUAAAUAACACACUUGAAAUGUUUGUUAACUAUGCAGUGAAUGCAGGAUCGAUGUAAUGCCGGGAAACCUGGACAGCAAGAGCCGGAGAAAACUAUUAACAGGGAAACUGUUCGCCCCAAGUGCCCGGACACAGCAGCUUGACUCUUGGCUGCAGCAGCUGUGAACAGUUCGUGCCUUGGCCGGAAUCUGAGCUUCUGUCGCGUGUUUUUUUUUACCGCCACCACCUCAAACUGUGCGUUUACUUUUCUCCCAAAUGUAUGGCAACAUUUAAAACUUAAAAUGCGACAAAUAUUCCAUUCGACCGAUACUAAUGUUUGUGUGCGUUGCCAAAUGUCUGCAAGUAUGAGACAAUUCCAGUUACUUUCCAGAAACUGUUUUCAUUUCUCUUUGCAAAGGAAGGAAAGCGCCUCCGGGAGUGAGACCGAGGAGAGAACUGAGGCUACACCAGAAAAGGAAUAAAUUUUUAUUUGCAUAUAACGGUCAGAUAAAAGUGUGCACGCACCGUCGGAUGACUGAAGCCACUUUUAAGGCAGUGGUUCAAUGUGUUAGGGACGGACUCGGCUCUUCACAGUACAUUGCAGCGCGUGGAACUGAUAUCGGUAAAGGACGAACAGUGCGGGGAAUACCGAGAGCAUUUCAACGAUAACUAAUUGUUCGUGAGCUGAAUUGCCUACCACUAUCAUCAUAAGACAAGCAUCGAUAUUAACGAUGUUGAAUCUUAAUUUGUUAAAUUCAAAUUUCUAAUUCGAUUUUCUGUUGUUAACUCAUGCUUUAAAGGAUAUUCUAUUUCGCUUUUUAACAAAAGAGAUUUGGCAAUGCAGGGAGCUAAAAUGGAAUUUUUGCCUUCAGUUGUUAAUCUGCUAGCAUGUGGGGGCAGGAAAGAAAUCACCUUUGAACGACACAUUAAAGAGGGGUGUCUCCUCGACGCCCCUGUGCCCCGUUA